AACGAACGCUGGCGGCGUGGAUAAGACAUGCAAGUCGAACGGGAGUUUAUUUAUAGCAAUAUGAGUGAACUCUAGUGGCGAAAGGGUGCGUAACACGUAGCUACCUACCUCGAAGUUGGGGAUAGCUCGGCGAAAGCCGGAUUAAUACCGAAUGUGACCGGAAGGUCAAAGUUGGGGAUCGUAAGACCUGACGCUUUGAGAUGGGGCUGCGGCCUAUCAGGUAGUUGGCGGGGUAAGUAGGCCC
rnacentral:rRNA from 1 species